rnacentral:rRNA from 1 species
AUUGAACGCUGGCGGCACGCCUAACACAUGCAAGUCGAGCGGUAGCAGGGCCUGUAGCAAUACAGGUUGCUGACGAGCGGCGGACGGGUGAGGAACACGUAGGAACCUGCCCUUCAGAGGGGGAUACCUAAGGGAAACUUUAGUUAAUACCGCAUAGACUCUGAGGAGGAAAGCUGCCGCAAGGUGGCGCUGAAGGAGGGGCCUGCGUCCGAUUAGCUAGUUGGUAGGGUAAGAGCCUACCAAGGCGAUGAUCGGUAACUGGUCUGAGAGGACGACCAGGCACACUGGGACUGAGACACGGCCCAGACUCCUACGGGAGGCAGCAGUGGGGAAUAUUGGACAAUGGGGGCAACCCUGAUCCAGCGAUGCCGCGUGAGUGAAGAAGGCCUUCGGGUCGUAAAGCUCUUUAGGUUGGGAAGAAGGGUGCAUAGGGAUAAUCUAUGUACUUUGACGGUACCAGCAGAAUAAGCACCGGCAAACUCUGUGCCAGCCGCCGCCGUAACAC